rnacentral:rRNA from 1 species
GGACGAAGUUGAGCGGCGCGCUUACACAUGCAAGUCGAGCGAGAACCAGUCCUUCGGGGCUGGGGAAAGCGGCGAACGGGUGAGUAACACGUGAGUAAUCUGCCCUCGGCAUCGGGAUAGCGGCGGGGAAACCCGGAUUAAUACCGGAUGGCCUCUCGAGCUUUCGGGCUCGUGAGAAAAGGUGGCUUCGGCUUCCGGCCGAGGAGGAGCUCGCGGCGGAUUAGCUUGUUGGUGGGGUAACGGCCUACCAAGGCGACGAUCCGUAGCUGGUCUGAGAGGACGAUCAGCCACACUGGGACUGAGACACGGCCCAGAGUCCUACGGGAGGCAGCAGUGGGGAAUCUUGCGCAAUGGGCGAAAGCCUGACGCAGCGACGCCGCGUGCGGGAAGAAGGCCUUCGGGUUGUAAACCGCUUUCAGGAGGGACGAAGCCACUCGGGUUAAUAGCCCAGAGGGUGACGGUACCUCCAGAAGAAGCCCCGGCUAACUACGUGCCAGCAGCCGCGGUAAUACGUAGGGGGCAAGCGUUGUCCGGAUUUAUUGGGCGUAAAGGGCGCGUAGGUGGCCACCGCAAGUCGAUUGUGAAAUCUCCGGGCUUAACCCGGAAAGGUCAACCGAUACUGCGGGGCUAGAGUGCAGAAGGGGCAACUGGAAUUCUCGGUGUAGCGGUGAAAUGCGUAGAUAUCGAGAGGAACACCUGCGGCGAAGGCGGGUUGCUGGGCUGACACUGACGCUGAAGCGCGAAAGCUAGGGGAGCGAACGGGAUUAGAUACCCCGGUAGUCCUAGCCUUAAACGAUGAAUGCUUGGUGUCUGGGGUUUUAUAGUCCCCGGGUGCCGUCGCUAACGCUUUAAGCAUUCCGCCUGGGGAGUACGGUCGCAAGACUGAAACUCAAAGGAAUUGACGGGGACCCGCACAAGCGGUGGAGCAUGUGGUUUAAUUCGACGCAACGCGAAGAACCUUACCUGGGCUAGAAUGCCCGUGACAGCCCCAGAGAUGGGGUCUCCUUGGUAAAACUUGGCACGGUGCAAGGUGCUGCAUGGCUGUCGUCAGCUCGUGUCGUGAGAUGUUGGGUUAAGUCCCGCAACGAGCGCGACCCUUAUCAAUAGUUGCCAGCGGUUCGGCCGGGCACUCUAUUGAGACUGCCGUUGACAAAACGGAGGAAGGUGGGGAUGACGUCAAGUCCUCAUGGCCUUUAUGUCCAGGGCUACACACGUGCUACAAUGGCAAGUACAAAGCGCUGCAAAAGAGCAAUCUGGAGCCAAUCGCAAAAAGCUUGUCUCAGUUCGGAUUGGAGUCUGCAACUCGACUCCAUGAAGCUGGAAUCGCUAGUAAUCGCAGAUCAGCAUGCUGCGGGAUACGUUCCCCGGUGGGCACUCACCG